GUUAAAGUUCUAACAACUCUGUAAGUUAUCCUUUUUAUGCCCAUUUAGGUAAACAACCUAUUGUUAAAAGAACCUGGACAACAGAAGAAUCUGCUGCAAUAGAACGUCAUUUGAAGAAAUUCAUUCUGAUGAACCAAGUCCCAGGAGAGGAGGACUGUCAGCGCUGCAUCACUGCAGAACCUGAAGCCUUGAAGAGACGAGACUGGAGGGCAGUUAAGUACUUUGUUAAAAAUCGAAUUACCUCUCCGCGAAGAAAAUUAGAGUGAAAGUGUUUCACUCUAAAAUUGUGUGUUGUAGCUCUGUUUUCACAAUUCAACCACUUUACUUUAAAAGGCUGAUUCCAGAAUCUUCUACUUCAUGUAUCUGAGAUUGAAGAAGAUCUGAAAACAUGUUUGUGCUCUUAUUUUUCCUCCAGUAAGGCCAUCUAGAAUACCGAAGCUGUCAAAGUUGCCAGUGUAAUGUUUUUAUGUUAUUCUGCUAUUGUGUUAUUGUGUUGUGUUCUUGUCAACACAAGGAGCCAUUGGACUGCUUUCCUGUUAUCAAAGCUCACUGUAAUAAUCAGCAGCUGAUUCUUCAGCUGAUUCAGCAGGUGUUUGUUUUUUGAUUAUCACUGUGCUGUCUACCUAAUGUGAGGAGGAGGAAAUGCAGGAUGU